AUGCUUAGAAACUGCUCAGAGUUACAUGGCUGAGGUCAGCAGGAGACCUGCACCUUCCCCACACAGGUGUUGAGGGCUGACCUGCACUGCAGUUGCUAAGUAGCGAGGUGGGGCUGGGAUGUGGCAUCUUUGGAGCAGGUGAGAUAAAGAGGAGAUGGGUGGGCUGCUUGUGUGCAGCUUUAUUCUGAUUCGAGUAAUGCUGCUGCAAUGUGCUUAUAUCAAAAGAGAAGUUACAGCCUGUAUGAUAGGAUUUUUGUUGUUCUGAAUUGAGACCUCCUUUUAUUCUGUUAAUCCUUUCACCGGCUGCAGGCUCUGUCUGCUCUUUUCAAGUGCACAGUCCACUGCUUUUAUUUCCUGCUCCUCUGUUCUGACUCUUGUACUUGGUCUGAUUUCUCUACUUCCUUAACUUCUGACUUGUUCUCCUCUUCUCUUGCCAGUGCUGCGAUAUGUGGGCUGCAUUUCAUUACCAUGGAGAGCAAAUCUCAGCCUCCUGUGCCCUUGUCUGUGUGCUGCAAUGCUCACCACAGAUAAGGGGGGAAUGCUGAGAAAAGCCUUCUCCUAGGAAGCAGGAGACAUUUUCCUGGGGAUUUUCUCAAAGGAGUGACACAGAAGGAGCUCCAGAUUGCCACCACCCUGAAAGCAGUGUGCAUCAAGCUUUUGCACUUUGCAUUGUACACGGCCGCUCUGCAAGAUGACUUCUGGAUACGCACAGACCACAGCAAAAAGGCACAUCUGUGGACAAGCAGACCAUUGCCUAUUUAUGGUGUGAGCCAAUUGAGAAGAAUAUAAAUUUUUUUUUAUUUUCAUUUUAUGCUGCUAGGUUACAGCUCCUUUUUACCUCCCCUGGUAAAACCGCAGUCAGAGGUAAGCCGCUAGCCUUGAAAAGCUGCAGGAUCUGCCUGGAAUUUUACCAAGCUGUUUGAACUUUGCCAUGGCUUUUCUUGCAAGUACUGUGGUGUGUUUUCAGCUCCCCAAGCCAGGUGAAGGAUCCUACUCCAAAGGAUCCUGAUAGACAACUGCAUGUUUGCACAGACUGUGAAAAUGUAAUAGUGCACUAUCACCCCUGAAGUUUAUUGCCCUGUGAGUGUAACUUGCACAAUGCAUUUUGGAUGAACAUUUCUAAAUUUCUCUUAAAAAAUGUAGCAUUUGAUCUUCCUCAGCACUAUGCACCUUUUUCAUACAGAGCAUCACAUCAAAAUGUGGACACCUAUCGGCUGUUCUUUAUUUAUAGUUCCUGGACAUUUAAUUUUCAUUAGUUAUGAAUCUGAACCUCAGACUCUAGUAAAAAAUGUUUUCUAGUGCCUCAAAAGCACCUUUGUGGUACCUUGCUUUUAAGGAAGACAUGACUCCCACCUUUAUUUAGCCACAAUUUGCAUUUAUAAGAGGACAAGAUGUUGAAUUACAUUUCUCUGCAGCUUAGGUCUGUCCUAUUGUCCUGAAAAAGUAUUGAAUAGUCGUGUAGGUUUAUACACUGUGUGCUCUGCCAGCAAGCACAACGUGCAACUGAAUGCUAAAAUAUUAGUCAGCAACGUGUGUAACAGAGAUAAGGAUGGCUCUUUCUUUUCAGCAACAAUUUUUUUUGUACACGAGUAAGAACCAUUGAGGUAAUCUGCAUUGCUCUCACAAGCUGGUAAACAGAAGCAUGUCCUGAAACUCCAGCUAGCUCCAAAAUCCAGUGCUCACACACAGACUUGGAGAGGGAGAAGACCCUUGCUGCAAUGCUGCUGUUUUCUGUGAUACCAGCACUUUCAUGCACAGACAACGUGAAAUAGUGACUUUGAGUUUGAUACUGAAACCCUGAAGGGAGGAAGGAUCUCUGCCCCAGAGACGCCGCGCUGCCAUCGGAUCGGAGUCGUGAUACCGCCCGCACACCUUCCAUCGUUCGGAAGGAAGUCUUUCCCCCCACGUUACAUGUGAGCUACCCGCCGCCUAACGCCAGCUCAGGGCAACGGGUUCUUGGCUCUUGAGCCGAAAACCUUCGGCCGUGCUGUCCGGCCGCGUUCCGCUGGAUGCCGCCCGCAGAGCUUCGCUGUUACGGACGGGCCGCUGACACGCGGUGUCACUUCGCACCUGCCCGCAGCCAAUCCCGCUCCUGUCCGAGUUUCCUUUAGCAAAACACGGGGCGGUCCGCCUAACUUCUCGGCUCGAACGUUUGACACCGCUCGGCUUUACCGACAUCGCCAAUACUUUACCCCGCUCCGACGCCUUCGGUGGGACGGGAGGGCGUUCUACCGGCUUACUCCGCGGACGGCAGCCGGUGCCAUCUACACGCCACCUGUCCGCAGCGACCCGGCACGGACCCGGCCAUCGGUCCUUACCGAUGAUGAUGGCACAGGCGCUCAGCAGCCCGAUCUCCUUCUUCAGCGCCACCCGCUCGGGGCCGCCGGCCAUCGUGCCCGCGCCGCUCUGCCCCGCGCUGCCCCGGGAGCCGAGCUCAUGCUCCGCCCCCAGCGGGGGCUCCGGGGGGGUCCGAGAGCCGGGAGCGCGCCGGGAUAAGGAUGGAGAGCGCCUCUCGGGGCCGCGCGGCGGGUGCAGCUGAUGCGGGGUAGCACGGAACGCAGCACAUGUGUGCAGCUGGGCUCACACGAGAGAUAACGGCGUUUAUUUGCCACGUGCGGGGCGCGGAGGAUGAAUGGAACGGCUGACAAACCGGCGGCCGCCUGCGGAAACGCCAGGGCUGACCACGGAGCGGAGAACCUUUGGCGCGUUCCAAGGCAGAUGACCCUGGUUUACAGUUGCUCGUAUCAAAGACACUGCAUGCUACAGACAGAGCAGACUGCAGCCAACAGAGUGCUUCUCAGAUACUGAUGGAGAGCGAAAAUGCAAAAGAAUAACUGCAGCAUCUAAAGGGCAAUUUUCCAAGUACAGGAGAAGAGGCAAACUGCAAGGAGAGGAGCCUUCAGCGAGACACCUCAAAGCCACCUUCUGAAGAGCUCUGUGUUAAAACCCACCAAACGCUGCAUGGCUGAGCGGUGACUCAGAGUGGUGCUUCACUCCUACAAGCAGGCUCCUGGCUGGGCGGCUCCAGAUUAUUCACUGGGUAACCUUCCUCCAGUAAGAAGUGUCCUGAACUGAAAGGCAUCUUUGAUCGACCACUCCUUACCAAAGUGAUCAAAACUCUAAGGGAAGGCAUUUCCUUAUGGAGAGAGGCUUCCUUUACCAGAGGUGUUUGCUGGAAGGAGCAGAGCAGGAUGGGCCCAGCAACAAAGGAGGAGGUAAGGGGCUGUUCCUGAGGGUGGAGUUAGCACUGCCACCGUUCAUCUGUGCAGGUAUCUGGUCUGGGAGUACUAACCCUGAUCCCAUGCCUGUUGAAAUCAGUGACAUGAUUUCUGCAGACUGUUGAAGGGACCAUCGAGAGGCUGAGGAGCAUUUAACAGCCCAGCCUGGCAGGAACAGUUUGUACUGCAGUACCCACAUGUGCUACACACUGGGCUGGAUGGAUCCUGAGUUCUGUGCGGGUGAAGGAAAUGGGGCUCACACAAUCAGGGCCUGGGGGAUGAGAGCCUGGUGGUCAGUCUGUUUUUCUUGGAUGACAAAGAUGUAGUUACCAAAAUGAGACUGCCCAGAGGUGCUCAGGCUUGGUGGGUUUUAUUGCUGGAGCCUCAAGGAAGCAGCCCAGUGAUGAAGGGUCUCCCUGCUUUGUCCCCCAUUUUGUACGUCUUUUCCCUUUGCUUGCUGAGGUUUCACCUCGGGCCUGCCUCCAGUUUGGAAACACUGAAUAGCUCUUAAUGACAGCAGCACAAACAAAACCCUAUAAAGACAGGAUUUGUGAUUUACGUGGGGUUAAUUACCACAACAAGUAUGUUUAUUCACUUCUCUAAUAAAUCCUAAAGACAGGAACAAGUACUAGCUUGAGCAGAUUCAUCCUGUGCAUACGUUUUUUUGUCACCAUUUUUGCAAAUCAAUGUGUGCAGGACAGAUAAAAAGAGAUGACAUUUCUCCCAUCAUGUAGGUACACCCAUAGCCCGUGUGUGCUCUUCAGCCCACCAAUGGCAUCAGCUUUUACUUUAGAUCUCUUGAGGAAAAUAGGCUCUUUUGUGACUUCUGCAGUGCUUUUUAAUUUAUUUAUUUAUUUUAAGGAAAUAAGUGGAUCAUAAAUGAAUAUUAACUACAGCAGUGUGAUCUAUUGCUCUGACACCUACUUGCCACAGGAGGAAGGUGAGGUUUCCAUUUGUCUCUGCUAAAGGAACGAGGUGUUUCUAACACGAGGUUAUUAAGCUGCAGUGAUGGGAGCUGGGGCAUGAGCAAGGCCCUGCGGUGUGAAACUGAGCUUCAGUGAGGGCACUCCAAGGCCCAUCACUCACUCACUAACAGAAUGACUUGGUUCCACCAAUCUGAUUUAUAGGAGAGGGAACUGAUGUAGAGAAAUGAACAGUGCUACUGGGGUGUGUGUUUUUAAAAUCACUGAGUGACUUCAUGUAGACCAAUGUUCAGCACUGUCCUGUUUGAUUGUGUUCUGAUAUACGUGGGUUGCAAGGCGGUUUUGUUGAGCUGCUGAUUCUGCUUUAGCCAUCUUCCAUGCUUCCAGUGUCCAUGUCCAUGCUGUGCUGACUGCAGUCCCUGGUUAUUUAGAGCAGUAGCUGCCAUGGCUCGGCACUGUGCCAGACGGGGCCCCCGCCGCGCUGAGGAAUUUGUGUCAGAUAGAACAUUUCGUACGAUGCAGAAGGUUCUGUCACCUUGAUUCGAAGGAAGUUGUUUGUGUUAAUGCUUAAAGGUAACGUGAGACAAGGCGAGCUCUUUACUUUGGAACACGCGCUGUGCCAUUGAUGUACGCAGUACAGUAAAUAUAACAAAGAGUGCACUGUGGUAUUUACACCCACCGCAAACACAUUUGCAAAACAGGAUUAUUUACAAUCCAAUAAAAUGGUUCUGCUUUUAAGGCAGAAGCCCUGUGUGCUCAGUGAAGUGUGCUCCUCAGCUUUCCUUACCGUUUAUCGACCCAACACAUCCCUCCCCAUUUUUUUAAUGCCUUCCAUUAAUAGUUAAGAAAAAACCUAGGGAAAACAAACACUCUUUUCCUGAUUGUUUAUUCACCAGUCUCUUAGGAACCAUAAUUACGUCUCCCAGGAAUUGUGUGUUUUAUCAUACUGUAUAUCUUAAAGAGCCACUUUAGGUAAAAUAACAAGGAGUGCCUUAUGAAGGAAAAUUGGAUUCAUUUUAAGACUUUUUUAACCCUCCAAAGAAUGGCUCUUUGUUUACUUCUUUAGUGCAUGUGGCAACUUGCCCAAGUAAAUACUAUGCUGCAUAAAUACCAGAGAUUGGUAUUUAUGAUAUUACAUAAACAUACUCUGAAUAAUGACUCAUUGUUGCGAUGAAGACGAACGCAAGCAAUAUACAUUGCAUUCAGUGCGUUGUUUCUUGUCACUUUAUUAAGUGGCAUUGAGUGUUGUAGGACAGAAUGACAGCGAUUGGAGAGGAGAAAUCCAAUUGCAUUAUUUAGCAGAUCUGAGUUUACAAAACAGAAGAGAAAACAGCCAAAACAGGAAGGUUAUGACGAUAACAUAGCAGAUUAAUUAUCAGUUUGCAGGAUAAGUUGUUAGGUGUGCGCUGGGGUUGACUGGAAAAAGGUUUAUUGCUCUUUGAAAUGAAAACUCAUGCAAUGUGUUUAUUCUGCUGUCCCAAGAGGGAGCUGAGCCCUCAGGUUCAUCAUCCUACCUGUGGUGAUGCUCACAUCCAACUGAGACAACAGUGUUUCCCACAUGGAGCCACACUUUUGGUGGCUUUGUUUCUCAGAACCUCAGUCUGUACAGCUCAAGUUUUGUUACACCUUUGCCUGCUCUCCAGAAAAAUCGUGCAAGGGUUUGUGUGAAGAUAAAACAUGGCACACUUUGCAGUGCUGCCUAAUGAUGGAGCUCAGAUCUGAGAAAUCAAACUCCCGAAGGGAAGGUGCAUGGGCCAGAACCUCUAUUUAAAGCCAGCAUGGUAUUAACAAGUUAUUUAUUUUUAAAGCCCAUGGUUACAGCCUGUCUCAUCCAAACAGCAAAAACAACGGGCAUUCAGUUUCUUAACGGGGCUACUGAACCAUCCCUUUAAAAAUGAUGAUGAAAAUUAUCACCCAUAAUAAUGGACCAGCCUGAAAAAUGUUAAUUUUUGGAAAUUCAGCCCCUCAGGAACAGCGGAGAAUUCUGCAAAGUGGGAGGGUGAUCCCCAUAAUACGUGGAGGAGUGGGAUGCCCAGCUGUGGGAGCAUUCUGUUCUCCUCCAUGACUGCAGGCCUGCAUGCUGUGGUUGAGGUGAACGCCCCUUGUGCUUGCGUGCUCAAGAAGAUAGCUGUGGAUGGGGCCCACAACCUCUGCAAAGUGCUUGGGUUUAUGGAAACCACUGCAUUACUGCAGGGUCAGUGACUCAGCAGCGAGACACACUGCGCCGGCACUGGAGAAUCACCAGAGGAGCUGAGAACUAUCCCAGAGAGAAAGUGCUGGUGCAAAGUCAUGAUGUCAGAGCUUUUCUCUGCGUGCUGAAGAUGCCAUGUCUGGCACUGAGAGUCGCAGUGUGGUGGAGCUACAGCUUUUAAUGGAAGUUCCCAGGCUGCGUGCCAGGACGCUGCAGACAGACACAUUUAUGGUUUUUCAGGUAAAAACAUGAGUGAUUUGUGACCAAGAGGAGGAUGUGGUUCUUUCCACUCCUUCACCCCAUCCCCUUCUAAGCCAUCCAAAGCACACAUGGCUCUGCGAUGGAACCUUCACAAGGGCAGGUAAACAAUAUUCCUAUUGUAAAUUACUUCAAUAUCUUCACAAAAAAAUUAGUACAGUCCUCACAAGCACAGACUGUUAAAGUGCUCUGUAAAUUACUUGUCUGCCUUCACUGGGUUAACUCAACAAGUCCAGCAGCUGUGGGGCUUAUCUCAUAUCUCUGCUGCUGAACCUGUGCUCUUUUGUCACUGACUCCAAUGUAUCACUUUGUUAACAUCGAACAGCUUAUGAAUUGGGAAAAAAUUCCUCUAGGAGUUUGAAAUUUCUAUUUCCUUAGUGAUCCUGGACCCAAGUAGACAGGACUCACACUGAAAAGGGACCUGAUGGCCAGUGCACAGUGUGCUGUAGAAGUGCAUCUCUGCAGCCAGCCCUGAACUUGCUGUGCCCACACUGUGUGAUGUUUGAAUUCUGCCAUCAGAGCAGGAACUGCAGAGCAACGUUUUGGGUUUGACAGUGAGGAACGUGGCAGCUCUGCAGCCUUGUGAUGCGUGUGACAGUACGACCGUGCUCGCAUGUACAAAGCCAGCUGCCAUCCGUGUUGCAAUGUUAAGAAAAGCUGAAGGCGUAUUAUGUCCAGCAACAGCCCCAGGGUGAACAGGAACAGGUGUGCUGGGUGCACUGAUCUAUGACAAAGCAGCAACUUAUGGCCUCAUGCUGCUGUUUUGUCAACCCGCUCACAGAGAAGUAUUUGUGCCAUCAUUGGUCCCGUGCUUCAUGGCAAUAUUUCUCUGGGGCUGUAAGCAGGGCACUGCUUGCCAUCUCAGGUUGGGUAAGUGCCUGAUGUUCCUCCUAACGAUUAUAUAAAGUCUUUGUGCAUCAAUUAGAGGUGGUGGGAGAUGCCUGUAUAUGACAUGCUGCACAUGCAGUGUUAUAUGCAGUUUUAUUACAGUGACUGGUGCUGGGCGAUUUCUCCACCAUCUCCUCCACUCAAGGCUGUUCAGAUGCCUUGUAGACCAAAUGCAUGGGGAGCAGUAGUAGUUUUACUAGGCCAACUGAUAAACAAACAUAUGUUGGGAGCCGUUCCCAGGGCCACGCAGCAGUUCUGUGAGAUGGAGGACUCCCGGGCUUUACCAAAGGUCCAGAAACCACUGUUUCUCCCCUUGUGGCCAGUCCUGUCUCAGCAAUAUUUUGAUUGCUCUCCUGUAAAAACUUUUCCUUUUUCCCCCUCUGGGCUGUUAAUGUUACCACAGAGAUAUUUUCUAUCAACCCACUCCAGAAAACUGAAGUUAUUCUGAAAAAGGAAUUAAGUAAGGAAGAUUUACUGCAGUUUAAAAAAGCCAGCACUUGCAAGACACGGCCCCCAAGGAACGCUCUGUGAUCCAGAGAUCAUUUCGUACCAUUGCAUUGGCAGUGCUUCCUUGGUCAAAGCCCUUCCGUGUUUCUUCCUGGGAUAUUAACGUGAGUUUAAUCAUCAGUUAAAACAUCUGGCAAGAUGAGACUUGUUUCCAGAAGUGGUUUGAUUGGAGUAGCACAUUGUAAUUCAAUUUCCAAUUUUAGUGGCACAUUUUUUGCAGCACUGAUUAUCAAGUAGUUAUUGAUUUCACCCCCUUCCCAAUAACUGGGGCAAAAUUCGGAAGCAUUUCAGGCUGAUCUUUGCAGAGCAAGAGCAGGACGGUUUGUUUAUUCCCCGUGUGGGAUUUGUUCUGCAUUGACUGCAUUGCUGGGUGUCCUCACCUGUCUGUGCUGCUGUCUCCUGGCUGUGUGUUGUAACCUGAAGGGGAUUAGAGAUGGCUGCAAGGUGAGUCCAGUUUUAACAUCUAAAGCUGAGUUAAUGGAGUCAAAUGGUACUUGGAUUUCUGAUUCUCUCAACAGAAGGGCCUCCUGCCUUUAUGAUGGAUGGCACUUAAUCACAAACCAGGACACUUCCAGUGUGGCAACAUCUCCAGGCUCUGCAGGAAGAGCCAUGGCUGUGCUGAGCCGGGUCUGCUUGGUGGUGCCAAGCCAAAGGAGCCCCCAGUCACCAUCACCAAGCCAUGAACACAGGUGGGACCAGGCCUGCUCCAUGGGCCCAACAGAGUGGAGUGUGUAUUGUGAGUAUUGCACAUACAUCAGGUGCCCUAUUGGCAGGGCUGGGUCCCUGUAACCUCAGGGGGUGUCAUAGGGUGAGAUGAAGCUUUGGCAGCACUUUAGAAAUGCAGGAUUGAAGUUACUGGUUCUCCCAAGCUUAUUGCCUGCUAUGGAUGGCCCCAGCAGGCAGUCUGCUCCAGCACUGCCCUAAGUGCACAGAGCACUGACCUGGCUCACACGUGGCACUGCCACUGUCAUAGCAUCCAGAGCUCUCCCAUGCGGUGGAGCAGAGCUCCUUUGCCCACGCUUGCUCUGUAGACACAAAACAAGGUGAGCCCACUGCCAUGCCAAGGGAUGUGUCUGUGUCUCAGCAACCUGCUGUGGCAGCAGCUGCAUUACCUGCAUAGGAUGCUCUUCCUGCUUUCGGUUUCUUUCCCUUUCUGGAUGUGCCACACUGGCACAUCCCCGUCCUGUCCCGGUGGUGGUGGAGCUGCCGGGAGUGCCCUAAGCCAACCCCAAGCCUUCAGCUGCUGCCAGAGCCCUGGCAGACCCUGCACUGCCCCAGCAUCCCAGCAAAACCUGCAGGGUGUUGGUCCUGCAGCCCCGGCAGCAUCCCUUGGAAGCUGCCAUCACCUCGCUGCCUGCUGUGGCCACCGAACGAUGCCUGGCAGAGGUGACUCAGCGGCAGGGAGCCCUGCUAAGGCCCUGGCACAUCCCUGCACUGAAACACUGCCUGCAGCCUCCUGCCUCUGCCCAGCUCGCCCUUCCUGCCGCCUUUCCCCUGGGGUCCUAACUCCCGACUUUGUUGCUCUAUAAACAUAAUAACAAUAAUUAUUCUCUCAUUGGACACAUAGCCAUCUUCUUUGUUUGCAGGCUUAGAUAAAUAUCAUUCAAAUCAUGGAGUCUGAUUCAUGAGUCAGGAUGAUGGCAGCCCUCCAAAACCUCCUUGCCCAUGGAGAGUGUGUUUGUGUGAGAGAGAUAGAGAGUUUCACUGUACGAAGAGUAAGAAACUGGAAGCCAAGUGAAUUAAAUACAAAGCAGAUAAUUAUGUGUAAUUCAUUUACUGACUAAUGAUUGCACCUGGUACAGAGGUAUAUGAAUCCAUUUCACUCCGCAUUUGUUCUCAAAAACAAUCUCUCUGCACAAGAUAAAAACUAGGCCUGUGUUUACAUUGGUGUUAUUGGCAGAUUCUGUCUCUUUGGUUCAUUCCCCCUUUCUUCUCACCAUGUUUCACUUUUCCUGAGUUUACCUGGUGUCUCCUUGGCAGUGACAGCUGCUCUGUGCAGGUAGGGGCCGGGUGUCACAGCAGAAUGGAAGCUUUGCUUCUCUCCUGCAGGCUGCUGUAUGCUCAGUUCACUGCUCAGGUCCUCUGUGAUGGCUGGUGCUCAAAGCAAGGAUUGCUGCUUCUUGCUGAGUGUGCCAGCACCAUCACACAGCUGGGCUCCGUCCAGUAAUCUAUCCAUUAAUGGGGUGCAGUAGAGGUAAGUGCACACUGUUUGUGCAAGUGUGAGCAGGCUACAUCUGCAGGCACUGGCUGAGAGCAGAUUUCUGUUGUGUGUCCUUUAAGGCCAACUUUGGGAAAGGAACCAACUGGAAUGACAAAAGGAAGAGGGAAGUUACUUGGCAGUUUGAAUAGAAGCUGGUUAGUAAAUCGUGGCAUGCUCACACUGAAAGAACACACUGUGUUCACCUGUGUAUGCUUUCCAGCAUUAUUUCCACUGAGUCUUUACUGAAGUGUAAUAGUGAAGCUGAGCUGGUGGCUGCCAAUGGAACAGCUGUAGCAGCAGAUCUAACCACCGCUGCUGCACACACACAGUGGGAGGUGUCUCCCUGCAGCCACCACCAGCACUGUGCGGUGCCAGCAGAGCAUCACUGCUGCCCAGCUCCUCCGCUCCCAGCACAGCACUGCCCUACACCCUGCAGCGCUCCCAGGGAUGUGGCACAAGCAGUGGAGGUGCUGCUUUCUCCAUCCGUGACAGCCACAGGUAACAAAAGCAUCAGCAAUUAAAAAAACAGAAGUAACCUUGUGCCCCAGUAUUGGAGUGAUUUAUCAUUAGAAAAGCCCAAACCAGCUCAUCUUGUUCGCAAGGGCUCCCACUGACUAAAGCCGCAGUCAGCACACGCUUCAGUUCUGAUCCCAUGCAAUCCUUUUCCGAUGAAGACCUGACAAGCCAGGACAGAUUGCAGGCCGGGAGAUACUCGUGGGGCGAUAGUACUUUACCUGUAGGUGGAUCCUCAUUUUAGAUAGCACGAAGCAGAGCUGGUGAGCUGAUUCACUGCUGUACUCCUGAUAUUCACCGGAAUAACACCACUGAAUCACCAGCAAAGUUGAAAUAACAAAUGAUAAAAUGGGACCAUUGUGUUGAAGUUUGCAGCACGUAUAUGGAAAUGACUGGCUCAAAUCAAAGGUAACAACUGGUGGGAACGACCCCAGCAUUCCUCAUGGGACUUUAUGUUUUAUUCAGAAGAAGAAUGAGGAUGAGGAGAACUUCAACAGCUUCUGAAAAGACUCAAUUUUGUGUUUCAUGUAUUUCUGCAGACCAGCUAAAGCUUAGAAACUGCUAAGUUAAGAAAGCACAGUCCUGGUUUCUCUUCUAUUUAUGAAAACGCUUGCAGAACAACUGAAAAGAGCUACGUAACUGUGAUAUUUUUGCAAGUAAUGCUCUGGAAAAGCAACUAAAGGCAACAGGCAAGCUUGCAAUUAGUAGUUCUAAUUAUAAAGUGUAUACAGAAAACAAUGUAGCAUCAUAAGUAAAGGCCAAGUUCAAAUGAUGCAAUAGGAAUAGUAGAACACCAUGUAACAAUGGGCAAAGCAUCCAGCGAGAGAAAUACUUCUAAAGGAGCCGCAGGCUUUCCCAUGAUAGCAACAAGAACAAAAAAAGGAGAAAAUAACAGCACUGUAUUCUAUGUAACUUCUACAGUAAUCCUUUCUCAGUGCCACCCAAUGCUCGUGCUUCUGUUGUAGCCCUCAAUCAUCCCUGGAUGACACAGCUGCAGAGUAGGACCCAAUUAUUGCAGACUGGGGGGGGGAGCUUCCCUGUGUUGUUUGUGUAUCCAGGGACCACUCUGUGCCUCGCUCCCACUUCCAUUAAUAACAACAGCCAUCAAAUACCCCUGCCUGCAGCAUUGUACUUCUACAGGCAAGCCACAUUUCUGUCACAUACAGGUUAACAAGUGUUUGAAAGAAGGAAAAAAGUAAGGAAGAUGCAGGGGUCUUUGCUGCAUAGCCUGGUGUGUAUAUGCGUGCCCCCUAAACUUCUCCAGUCUCUGACAGCACUCCAUGUACUGCAUGGGAGCUGCAAACCUCCACUGUUAGGCAAGGCCCUCUGCUCUGCACCAGUGUGUGCAGCAGCAGCACAGGGUUACGUGCUGCGCUAAAGAACUGCUCUCAAAAUUAAGUCCUGGGUGCAACCAGAGAAGGUGAAGAGACACAAUACCUUAGGGAAAUGGUUUUAUUUGUUCUGCCUGGAUGCAUAUAUGGCAAUCACCCAUGUAGCACGAUCCACAAUGCUGAAAACCAUUUCAUUAUGUUCUAUAAGUAAGAGCCUGAUGUGGUUCAAUUGUAUCAAUUAUGCAACUCUUCUAAGUGGUGUAGUCAAGGGUAAAUGCAGGCAAAGGGCACUCCCUUUGUACCUGCUUCUACUCUGGGCACUUCUAAUAUUUACCUGCUCCUCAUAUACCACAGACAGAUGAAUCUGCCCACUUCUACUUACCGCUGUAUCAGUGACUCCUCUUUGGUCAAGAGCUUUUCUUAUGCACCGAUGACACAAUAAAAUAGAAAAUGGAAGUCAA